rnacentral:rRNA from 1 species
CAGUAGCCACGGUAAUACAGAGGGUGCGAGCGUUAAUCGGAUUUACUGGGCGUAAAGCGUGCGUAGGCGGCUUUUUAAGUCGGAUGUGAAAUCCCUGAGCUUAACUUAGGAAUUGCAUUCGAUACUGGGAAGCUAGAGUAUGGGAGAGGAUGGUAGAAUUCCAGGUGUAGCGGUGAAAUGCGUAGAGAUCUGGAGGAAUACCGAUGGCGAAGGCAGCCAUCUGGCCUAAUACUGACGCUGAGGUACGAAAGCAUGGGGAGCAAACAGGAUUAGAGACCCCCGAGUCCCUGUCUCUUAUACA